ACGAACGCUGGCGGCGUGCCUAAUACAUGCAAGUCGAACGAAACUUUCUUACACCGAAUGCUUGCAUUCACCGUAAGAAGUUGAGUGGCGGACGGGUGAGUAACACGUGGGUAACCUGCCUAAAAGAAGGGGAUAACACUUGGAAACAGGUGCUAAUACCGUAUAUCUCUAAGGAUCGCAUGAUCCUUAGAUGAAAGAUGGUUCUGCUAUCGCUUUUAGAUGGACCCGCGGCGUAUUAACUAGUUGGUGGGGUAACGGCCUACCAAGGUGAUGAUACGUAGCCGAACUGAGAGGUUGAUCGGCCACAUUGGGACUGAGACACGGCCCAAACUCCUACGGGAGGCAGCAGUAGGGAAUCUUCCACAAUGGACGCAAGUCUGAUGGAGCAACGCCGCGUGAGUGAAGAAGGUCUUCGGAUCGUAAAACUCUGUUGUUAGAGAAGAACACGAGUGAGAGUAACUGUUCAUUCGAUGACGGUAUCUAACCAGCAAGUCACGGCUAACUACGUGCCAGCAGCCGCGGUAAUACGUAGGUGGCAAGCGUUGUCCGGAUUUAUUGGGCGUAAAGGGAACGCAGGCGGUCUUUUAAGUCUGAUGUGAAAGCCUUCGGCUUAACCGGAGUAGUGCAUUGGAAACUGGAAGACUUGAGUGCAGAAGAGGAGAGUGGAACUCCAUGUGUAGCGGUGAAAUGCGUAGAUAUAUGGAAGAACACCAGUGGCGAAAGCGGCUCUCUGGUCUGUAACUGACGCUGAGGUUCGAAAGCGUGGGUAGCAAACAGGAUUAGAUACCCUGGUAGUCCACGCCGUAAACGAUGAAUGCUAGGUGUUGGAGGGUUUCCGCCCUUCAGUGCCGCAGCUAACGCAAUAAGCAUUCCGCCUGGGGAGUACGACCGCAAGGUUGAAACUCAAAGGAAUUGACGGGGGCCCGCACAAGCGGUGGAGCAUGUGGUUUAAUUCGAAGCAACGCGAAGAACCUUACCAGGUCUUGACAUCCUUUGACCACCUAAGAGAUUAGGCUUUCCCUUCGGGGACAAAGUGACAGGUGGUGCAUGGCUGACGUCAGCUCGUGUCGUGAGAUGUUGGGUUAAGUCCCGCAACGAGCGCAACCCUUGUUGUCAGUUGCCAGCAUUAAGUUGGGCACUCUGGCGAGACUGCCGGUGACAAACCGGAGGAAGGUGGGGACGACGUCAAGUCAUCAUGCCCCUUAUGACCUGGGCUACACACGUGCUACAAUGGACGGUACAACGAGUCGCGAGACCGCGAGGUUUAGCUAAUCUCUUAAAGCCGUUCUCAGUUCGGAUUGUAGGCUGCAACUCGCCUACAUGAAGUCGGAAUCGCUAGUAAUCGCGAAUCAGCAUGUCGCGGUGAAUACGUUCCCGGGCCUUGUACACACCGCCCGUCACACCAUGAGAGUUUGUAACACCCAAAGCCGGUGGGGUAACCGCAAGGAGCCAGCCGUCUAAGGUGGGACAGAUGAUUGGGGUG
rnacentral:rRNA from 1 species